UCUACAGUUGCUGGUUAUAACUUGAAACUGGGGCUUUGUAUGGCUUCAUUGGACCUGUAGCUUGCAUCGUUCUGAUCAAUAUUGUCAUUGUUAUUAUCCUUUAGGUAACUUUUUGCUCGAUUGGAUACUCACCACAAGAUAAGAGGAGGAACAGGAAAUUAGCCGGAAUAAAGUCCAUCUGUACCCUGUUGCCUGUUCUCGGUGUCACGUGGUUGUUUGGCCUCUUGUCAAUUAAUGAGGAUGUGGUCGUUUUUCAGUAAAUAUUUUGUCUGUUGAAUUCCUUUCAGGGGCUUUGCAUUUUCAUCUCCAAAUGUCUUUUAAGUACAAA